GAAAUGCGAUAAGUAAUGUGAAUUACAGAAUUCAGUGAAUCAUCGAAUCUUUGAACGCACAUUGCGCCCGCCAGCACUCUGGCGGGCAUGCCUGUUCGAGCGUCAUUUCAACCCUCAGAACCCCUUGCGGGAUCUGGCGUUGGGGAUUGGCAUCCAGCCAGCCCCGAAAUCUAGUGGCGGUCCCUCCGCGACCUCCCCUGUGCAGUAGCGAUACCUCGCAGCGGGACAGCGGUCUGACCACGCCGUAAAACCCCCAACUUCUCAAGGUUGACCUCGAAUCAGGUAGGAAUACCCGCUGAACUUAAGC
rnacentral:misc_RNA from 1 species